GGGGGUACAGCUCAGUGGUAGAGCUGCCUAGCGUGUAGAAAGCCCUGGGUUCAAUUCCCAGUACUGGCA
rnacentral:tRNA from 1 species